AUUUUACUUUUCAAAGCGCGUCCUGUUAGCCAAUUUCUUUGCGGUUUUACCGCUUAUCGUGAGUUAAUUCUGCCGAUGAACACGUGUGUCUGUGGAUUGACAUUAGAUGGACCGGAUUUUUACAGCAUAAACUAUUUGCAACAAACACAAAAUUAUAUGCCUAUAAAACGGAAUAAAAAAUUACACGAAAACAUUGUUUUUAGCCUGGACGUAUUGAGGCAAUCUUUGUGCCAUAUUUAUCGUCAUAUUGAUAGCUAUUACAGCCAAAGUCCAGGUUGCCUUCGUCAUCCAGGUCAGGCGAUAUGAAAUCAUUUACUCAAAACAAUGCGUGGCGGAAAUUCUGGCUCCAACUCCUCAUCACAUGACCUGCGCUUCACUCUGAAGUGGCCAAAGUUCCCAGUGAAUUAGGGCACGCUGACCCAGAAAAUGCAUUCAUACCACAAAAGCCUGAUGUGAACAGCCGAUACCGUUUUCAUGUAUGUAACAUUUAAGAUUUAGCCAAAGAACUUCAAGAGAAACCAGGAAGUCGGAAAGUUAUUCCAGGAAGGGAAAUAGCGUUUUCAUUUUCCCAUUUUCGAAAUUUUUGUUUUUCGCUUUGACUUUCAAUUAUUUUGUGUUCUUACAUGGAUUAGAGAAGUCUCUGUCCGACAGAAAUUUUGCGUUUCCUCCCGGAAUGAUUUUGUGCCACUUACUGUUGUCAGUUCUACUUUGCUUGCGAUCCUUUGUGAUAAAUAAUUCUUAUGCAUAUAAUGUAUAGGCCUACACGUCAUUCCUUUCACUGAGUGUUUUUCAUUUCACUAAAAAAGCUCUACAGGCGGCAUGUUUGUGUUGGCCAAAAACCUAACAAGCCCAAAAGUUUUUCAAAAGCUAAACAACCUAAGAGCUAGUUAUUCGUUUUAGGAUUCUUCUUUUUCAAAUGUUGGCUGCUAAAUGGCCGUCAAGAACGAAUUAGAACAUUUAGGGUACCCAGUUGUAAGUUAAGUAUGACCUUAUCAUUUCUCUUCUCGCAGUAACGGGUGUGGGAGACAGGCUUAGGUGUCUGUGGGUGGGCCAGCAAACUAGACAAUAGAAUCGUGUGGGUUCGAUUAUUGCUUAAACCGAUUCCACAGCUCCGAAGUCAACCACUUGCUGUUUCUUUGCAAGGAAAUGAAGCAACAAUUCCUUGAUGAAGUUGAUUUGAUCGUGGUAAAUAGAUGCAUCAUUCCCAGAACCAAGAUUAUGACAUUAUUCCGCGGCCUGUAUGUUUCCAAGAACCUCCCACCAAUACGAGGACAUCCGAGAAAAACCUCUAGGUCUACGUGGAAGCCCCGUUAUGACAUAUGGACAAUCAAAAAACAAUAAAUACGCCUGUACAAUUCAUCACAGAAAGGUUCAGCCGCCGGAUCAAGACCAGACGAUGGACAACCCUAAUUUAUCCAGUCCGCUGAUCAUCAACAAUCAAGUGACCUCAUAAGAGAAACGUCUGUCAGCGAGGAAUAAGCUAAAGAAACAUACGUGACCGGAAGUCGUCCUGACUCCUAAGUUUUUGUGCAAUCGCAUCGAUGGAAGACAAAGUCGUGUUCAACGAAACAGAACGUUCUCGAAAAAGUUCCGGGAUUAUCAACUUAUUUUUGCAAGGGAACUCUCUGUGGUCUCUUGACUCGUUUUGUUGUCAUCUUUUGCCAAAGAGAAAAUGGAGGAUUAGAUUUACUGACAAAGUCAAAAACGAAACACGUCACCAUCGCGGUUCUGAUUAUAAGAGUGAAGUCGGGCGGAUAUCUGUUAAAGGCCAUGCAGUUUCGUGUUUGUACAUUUUUUGCAUGUUGUCGGCUGAAAGAAAACUUGUUAUUCUUAAAAUUAUUUGUGACCUGUAUCUCAGAUGCAAGUUUUUCAUCAAAAGAAUUUCACAUCUCUCGGCUUAGUGUU